UACGUAGGUGGCAAGCGUUGUCCGGAUUUACUGGGCGUAAAGGGCGUGCAGGCGGUCUGUUAAGUGCAGGGUGAAAGCUCCCGGCUCAACUGGGAGAGGUCCUUGCAUACUGGCGGACUUGAGGGGGGUAGAGGAAAGUGGAAUUCCCGGUGUAGUGGUGAUAUGCGUAGAUAUCGGGAGGAACACCAGUGGCGAAGGCGGCUACCUGGCCCACUCUUGACGCUGAGGCGCGAAAGCUGGGGGAGCAAACGGG
rnacentral:rRNA from 1 species